UACGUAGGGUGCGAGCGUUGUCCGGAAUUACUGGGCGUAAAGAGCUCGUAGGUGGUUUGUCGCGUCGUCUGUGAAAUUCCGGGGCUUAACCUCGGGCGUGCAGGCGAUACGGGCAAUACUUGAGUGCUGUAGGGGAGACUGGAAUUCCUGGUGUAGCGGUGAAAUGCGCAGAUAUCAGGAGGAACACCAAUGGCGAAAGCAGGUCUCUGGGCAGUUACUGACGCUGAGGAGCGAAAGCAUGGGUAGCGAACAGGAUUAGA
rnacentral:rRNA from 1 species